rnacentral:snRNA from 11 species
CAUUGCACUUUCGGUUGGGGCUGACCCGCAGGGCGGUCCCGAACUGGGAUAGGCCCACAGCUAAAUUUUUGAGUGCGGGUGACGGCGUUCGCGCCUCCCCUUU